GAAAUUAUCCACACUCUCUGCUUCAUGUGUUUCCCGUCUUUCAUAGUGAAUGUCUCAAUAUCAGGCAACUCUGGUUUCUGAGCUGGACAAACACUCAGCCAGGAAUUCCUGCAGCUUGAUGUGAGAUUCUGGCAGGUCACUGCUCUUUGGCCUGUCGGGGCCGCACUCAGGAGCCAGAACAUAUUGAUGACACAUUGAAACUUCUCUCCUCUGCCUAAAACUUCUCUCCUCUGCUCCAGCAUCACACAAUAGGAGGAGACGUCAUCCCAUAAAGUCCUAAAUUGAAAUUCUCCUGAAAUCCAGAAGAGUGGCUACUGCAUGAAUGAAGCAGAAAGAUUUUGAGAUUGUAAACACCACUUUGCAAAACUGCACUGCUCAGAACUUUCCAUCUGAUGACAUCAAAGCACCUCACUAAACCCAAGGAAUUGACUCCUGUGAGGCAGGCAAGUAUUGUUAUGCCUCUUUUUGGAUGCAGAAACUGAGGCACAGGAUAAUGUAUUCAAAGAUGCAUUGCUUCUACAAUGACAACAGAGAAAUCACAAUAUGUAAUCAGAACAGCAGUUCAUUGAAUUCAGUAUUCUUUCCUUGAUGGGACCAGCGCUCACUGCCUCAAAAGUGCAAGAAAUCCUGUAAUGGACAAUUUUGGGUUAACUUAUGCAUUAUCGUAAUGCUUUAUCCCGUCAGUUAGUAAUUUCUUUAUGCCUUGAAUCAUCAGUGUUUAGAUCCCUUCUAAAUUAAAACAGUUCUAUGUAAUAUAACUGGGGCUGUUUUCAUUGUCCACAUAAAUGUCCUUUUUGACAUUCUACUAAGCCCUCAGAUCUUUAUCAUGUGGCAGGAAGUUCCACAGGUUAAUUAUGCACCAUGUAAGAAAGUAUUUUCUUUUCUCAGUUAUAAAUAUGUCAUCUAUCAAUGUCAUUGAAUGCAUUACAUUGAAUGUGACCUUUCUUGGAUUAUGAAAGAGGUAGACAAAGGGUCUGAUUUAACUCCUUUAGAGCAUUCAUUAUUUUGUAUUAUACUGUUGCAUUCUCUUUGCAAACUGUAUCUAGGUAUUCCAUCGCUCCUCAUUUAAAAAUCUUCCCAUCUCUCUAAGGCCAGGUCUAUACUAGACCCAGAAGGUCAACUUAAGGUAUGCAACACCAGCUUUGUAAAUAACGUAGCUGGAGCUGACAUACCUUAUGCCAAGUUUGCCGCCGUCUCCACAGCAGGACGUCAGCGGGAGCAAACGUUCCCAUCAGCUUCCCUUACAACUUGCAAAUAGAGGCGUACUGGCACCGACUGGGGGCACCUUCAGCAUGCGAUUUAGCGGGUCUUUACUAGUCCCACUAAAUCGAAUGCCUGAUUGAUCUCCAGCACGGCAAGUGGAGAAGCGGCCUCAGUAUUGCCAGUCACCAUUGACUCUCUUUUCCCUAACCUCUUCUUUGAGCUCCAUUGAUUAGAAAGCAGUGCGGACGUCCAGGUGUGAGAGUGCCUGGGACUGACAUAAUGUCAAUGGAGAAGAUGUAUAGUGAAUGAGAGAACAGAUAACACUAAAACCAAACUCUUACAUGCCUUGGACCAUCCCUGGGCAAUGAGAGAUUGCCAGAAGUGCUCAGAGUUCAUGUAGCGCGCAGCAGCGUGUACACGUAGUUCAAAUUAUUCCAUCCAAUGUGCAUGAUGGUGCUUUUGUAAACAAUGAAUUUCAAGCAGUACAUAGCGUUGCCAGAAUUUACAUAUUUUCGUGCAUUUUUAAAUGACACUUUAAACAACUUUUUUAAGAUUACAAAGGAGACAGUCUGUCAAGAGUGAAAUAAGCGAAAAUGAAGGUGAACAUUCCAAUGGCAUUACUGUGGUGUAAUGCAACUUUGCACACAACAUGAGAAGACUUUACUUCUAGAGUCUAUGCCUAGAGGUGCAAGAAUAGCUGUGAACGGCUAAUAAGAACCAAUGCUAUUGGGGACAUCUGUUUUGGUUUUCAUUUUUCAGUGUUAUUAGUGCUUAUUGGUACAAGGUUCAGGAAUGUAGCCAAUCCCUUUGAAGUUGAAAGUGUAUUGUAAGGCUAGAGGCAUUGUGUGCCAUGUUGAUGACCCUGUAUGUAACCUUUCAAUUAAACAUCCAUAAUGCAUGGAAUAAAAAGGGCCUCUGUUGAAUGACUGCAAAACUGAACUAUAAUGCAAGUAAACUUAGUUUUCAGUGUAGGAAAGUUUUCUCUUUUCUGAUUUCAUGCAGCAGUUUCAGUACAGACACCAGAUUCUCC